UAAAACAACAGAAGAAAAAAAAAAGGCAAAGAAGGUAAGCAAACAAACAAACCCCCAGCAAGCAUUUUUAUUUUUUGAUGUCUCUAAAUACUAUGUGAGAUAGUACACACCAUGAGACUGAGAGCACGGUGUGAGUAGAGCUGAGGUACUGCAUGGGGUGAGGUACUGCAUGGGGUGAGGUACUGUGUGAGCUGAGGUACCGUGUGAGCUGAGGUACUGUGUGAGCUGAGGUACUGCAUGGGCUGAGGUACUGCAUGAGCUGAGGUACUGCAUGAGCUGAGGUACUGUGUGAGCUGAGGUACUGUGUGAGCUGAGGUGCUGAAUGAGCUGAGGUACAGUGUGAGCUGAGGUACUGUGUGAGCUGAGGUACUGAGCGAGCUGAGGUACUGCAUAAGCUGAGGUACUGAGUGAGCUGAGGUACUGUGUGAGCUGAGGUACUGAGCAAGCUGAGGUACUGUGUGAGCUGAGGUACUGUGUCUUUUCUGUGCUCAUGUACUUACAGGUCCUUCCUAUAGUCUGACUUCACUUCAUCAUCAUAGACUAAUCAUGCUGUCAGUCAUCAAGGCUACAGAAACCAAGAGGAUGGACACUGGUUAUGAGAAACAGCCUGUCACGAUGCUGCCAGACGGAUCUGUCAAGGCUGAGGGUGGUUGUAGACAAUACACUAAGCCAGCCUCCGGCUCACACUGGGCUCAGCACACUGAAGGAAGUUUGCCCACAAUUAUACGGGCCCAUGAGCGUUUUCCUCAGUUUCCAAAGUAUCACCUCGGGUCUUUCUCAGAGAAGAAUGCUAGGUGUGCAGCAGACGGGAAGCCACACAGACUGUGAGAACUUGGACUGACCCAGAUGUGUUCAGAUUGAAACCCUGCUUUUAUCUCAUGAAAACAGAAGCUGUGAGAUUAAAUUCUAUCUGUGGUAGUUUUCUCACCGCUGUGACAGAAUGCCUGCAUAAGUAACUUAUGGACAGAAGGACUUAUUCCACCUAAUCAUUUUAGAGAGUUUAGCACACACUUGUUGGCCCCAUGCACUCGGGCAGGACAUUAUGGUUGUGGGAACAUGUGAUGGAUGCUGAGCUUCACUUCUUGACAGACAAGAAGUAAAGACAGAGAUAUAGGAAGGGGCCAGAGUGAAAUAUAGCUCCAAGGACAUACCCCUAGUCACUUAUGUCCUUCAAAGGCCAUACCUUCCACUUUCCACCGUCUCCCAAU